CCUACGGGCGGCAGCAGUGAGGAAUAUUGGUCAAUGGACGAGAGUCUGAACCAGCCAAGUAGCGUGAAGGAUGACUGCCCUAUGGGUUGUAAACUUCUUUUAUAUGGGAAUAAAAUGUUCCACGUGUGGGAUUUUGUAUGUACCAUAUGAAUAAGGAUCGGCUAACUCCGUGCCAGCAGCCGCGGUAAUACGGAGUAUCCGAGCGUUAUCCGGAUUUAUUGGGUUUAAAGGGAGCGUAGGUGGAUUGUUAAGUCAGUUGUGAAAGUUUGCGGCUCAACCGUAAAAUUGCAGUUGAAACUGGCAGUCUUGAGUACAGUAGAGGUGGGCGGAAUUCGUGGUGUAGCGGUGAAAUGCUUAGAUAUCACGAAGAACUCCGAUUGCGAAGGCAGUUCACUGGACUGCAACUGACACUGAGGCUCGAAAGUGUGGGUAUCAAACAGGAUUAGAUACCCGAGUAGUC
rnacentral:rRNA from 1 species